UACGUAGGGCGCAAGCGUUGUCCGGAUUUACUGGGCGUAAAGAGCGCGCAGGCGGUCGUUCAAGUCGCGUGUGAAAGCCCCCGGCUCAACUGGGGAGGGUCACGCGAUACUGAUCGACUCGAAGGCAGGAGAGGGUAGUGGAAUUCCCGGUGUAGUGGUGAAAUGCGUAGAUAUCGGGAGGAACACCAGUGGCGAAGGCGACUACCUGGCCUGUUCUUGACGCUGAGGCGCGAAAGCUAGGGGAGCAAACGGG
rnacentral:rRNA from 1 species